UAUUUGGAUUUGAAGAACCAGCCGAGUCUUGUGAUACGCACCAGCUUUGUUUCUGGAGUUCAGUCAGAACUGCAUCUGAAUUUUCCUUAAAGAAGAGGAUCCUUCAGAUGUCUUGGAGCACUGAGGAUUUUCCUUUGACUACAGAAACAGCUAUGCCUUGACCAGGCUAGCCCUCUGGGCAGGACCUUUACCUCAUAUUGAACAAGCUGGACAUUGGCCACUUAAUGAGCAGAUAGUCGAUACUGUUUUGUCCUCAUUGUUUAUAUGUGGCUUACUGCUUUAUUUAAUGUACCCUGCUUUGGAGGCAAAAUUAUUGAUUUCCUUCUGGGCUUUUCUGUAGCGUUCAUCACUAGAGUGAGCGCCUCAUAAAUAUUAAUAAACUGAU